rnacentral:lncRNA from 1 species
UGGCUAGUCUCUAUUAUCAAGAUGCUUUCCUUUAAACUCCCUUUUAAUGAGUAAUGUCUUCAAAAUCAUUAUUGCCAAUAUAUACACAUAUAUUUUCAAUGGGUUAUGGCCUCUUUCUUGCAAAAAAUGCAGUCCUGCUCUGUGCAGCAAUCGUCAGGCUUGCUCUAAUCCAUAAAUAUGAAAUUAAGUUCAAUAAUUUGUUUUAUGCAGGACCUAUACCUAUUAUUGCUCUUGGUUUUAUUGCAGUAAUGCUGCCUUUCAGCACUUAUCGAGCAUGGGUCUUCAUGGUUCUGCUCCUGCUUUGUAGCGUCCAUUCACUUCUUGCAGUACCAAUUCAGCCUGGUUCAGAACAGAGUGCAGAGGCAAGCAGCAAACCUAACAUGACAGUGAAGGGUGUAUUUGAAUCUUUCUUAAGCUUCUUCAGACCAAUGACUUGCCGCCUCAGCAAUGAGCGACUUUUAACUCCUUGUCCUUUAGAAGGCCUGAACAUGUCUGAAUGCUCAAAAAUUUACUGCUGUCCUUUCAAAAUUGGCCAGGAUGAGCAGUGCUACAUGCCAGUGAGAGAUGAUGUGCAGCUGGCCAUUCGAGUGAUUUUGCUUACCGGAGGAGGAUUUUUGAUUUUGGGAUUGCUACCAAUCUGUUGCUGUGCCUUUUUACAGAGAAGGGUGGUUCAUCAAGUCACAAAAAAGCAGACGGUGUACAAUAGAGAAAUGGUCACUCAGUAAAAAAGACAACAUAAUACAGCAUAUGAUGACAAGGCUUUAGAAGACUUACAAGAUAUACAAACCAUUGCUUAUGGCUUUAGCUCUGCUCUCUCUCCUAUUGAGCUGAUAGAGAGUGAAACAAAAAAUCUCUCAGUGGAACAUCCUUCUUUAUCUUCACAAAGAUUAAAUAAAUACAAGGCUAAACAACUUGGCCCA